AACGAACGCUGGCGGCAGGCUUAACACAUGCAAGUCGAGCGCCCCGCAAGGGGAGCGGCCGACGGGUGAGUAACGCGUGGGAACGUACCCUUAUCUUCGGGAUAGCGCCGGGAAACUGGAAUUAAUACCGAAUGUGCCCUUUGGGGGAAAGAUUUAUCGGGUAAGGAUCGGCCCGCGUUGGAUUAGCUAGUUGGUGGGGUAAAGGCCUACCAAGGCGACGAUCCAUAGCUGGUCUGAGAGGAUGAUCAGCCACAUUGGGACUGAGACACGGCCCAAACUCCUACGGGAGGCAGCAGUGGGGAAUAUUGGACAAUGGGCGCAAGCCUGAUCCAGCCAUGCCGCGUGAGUGAUGAAGGCCUUAGGGUUGUAAAGCUCUUUCACCGGAGAAGAUAAUGACGGUAUCCGGAGAAGAAGCCCUGGCUAACUUCGUG
rnacentral:rRNA from 1 species